ACUAAUAGAUUGUUCAUAUCCGGAAAAAAGAGAGGAAAAAGAAAAGGUAGAGAGUUACAACUUACAAUAGGAACUAACAAAUUCUGAGAGUCAGCAAAGAUCACCCACUUUUCCAACUGUUGGGUGUCUAAUUCCCCAGAUUUCAACGUCCCACAAACUACACUGUCAACUCAAAUACUCCCCUGUCACAUUCACAUACUACUCUUCUUCAUUCUUUCUUUACAAUUUAAUCAAAUAUUCAUUCAUUCAUUACUUAUUUUUUUUUUCUCCUUGCUUCUUUAGUUACUGUUUACUCUACCUUGCUUGACCCACUUCAAAUCAUUGCCAUUUAUUUCAAGAAUCAAGUCAAAUAUUGCUACUUCGAAGCUCAAUAUACUACUGUAUUUCAAAGAUUGAAAUAAGUGUGCUCUGGUGACAGGGCUACAAGACAUUGUGAACAAACAGAAAGUAUCGACAUUUACUUGGCCAUCGGAGAUAAUCUGCAUAUGGUUGUUGCAUGCUUGACAACUGGGGGAUUCCAGUGUGAUGUCUACUAAUAAUAGUACAACACAGUCGAUCAGGCAUGAUAUUGGAAAUUCUGAUUCAAGGGGUUUGAAAGGAGGUUCAAACAAUUCCGAGGAACAAAAGGUUUUGGAACUUUCUGCUAUAGUCAGGGAACGAGAACAUGAGAUCUCCACUCUUAGCUCGCAAAUUGCUCAAGCCUAUAUUAAGGAGAUGCAGCUCUUGAAUGAGAAAUAUGCUUUGGAGAGAAAGUUUUCCAAGCUGCGAAGGGAUAUGGAUGAGCAGCAAAAGGAAUCGGUAAUUUCAGCCUUAAAAGAAGUUGAUCUUAGAAAAGCUGACCUUGAUGACAGUGUAAAGCUAACCAAUGAUUUGAAGGAUGCUGAAGAAGAAAGAUAUGUCUUCUUGACAUCUUUGCUUGGAUUAUUGGCUGAAUAUAGCAUAUGGCCUGGUGUGACAAAUGCUUCUUCCAUUUGCAUGAAUGUGAAGCUUCUGUAUGAUCAACUGCGUCAGAAACAACAGGAAAAAGCAAGCGAGUUGAGGAAUCUUACUCAGGAUCAGUACUAUGAAGACAAUCCUCAACCCAGCAAUGUAAAUAUUCGGUCUCCUUCCCAGCCCAUGAACGAUUCUAUUUCAAGUCGACAUAUAGCUGAAGAACUAACACCAGCAACCAAUAAUGUGUGGCCGGAAGAGCAGAAUAAUGAUGGUGGGCACUCGCUACCUCACGAUGAGGGUCCUGGAAUAGAAGGUUUUCAAAUAACCGGUGAUGCUAAACCAGGAGGCAGAAUCCUAGGGUGUGGUUAUCCUGUACGAGGAACUACUCUUUGCAUGUUCCAGUGGGUUCGUCAUCUACAAGAUGGGACACGACAUUACAUUGAAGGUGCUACCAACCCAGAGUACGUAGUUACAGCUGAUGAUGUUGACAAGUGUAUUGCUGUUGAGUGCAUUCCGAUGGAUGAGAAUGGACGUCAGGGUGAUAUUGUAAGACACUUUGCCAAUGAGCAGAAUAAGAUAACAUGUGACCCAGAGAUGCAAGCAGAGAUCGACUCAUAUAUUUCUAAAGGCCAAGCCAUUUUUAGCGUUUUAGCACUGCAGUUAGACUCAUUUGAACAUUGGGAAGCAGCAACAUUUAUUUUGCGACGUUCAGGCUUUCAAGUGCAGAUCAAUAAGACAGAAACUGUUCAAAUUGCUGAGAGAUUCUCAGAGAACUUGUCGAUCAAAAUUCCUGGAGGGUUGUCAACACAGUUUGUUCUAACAUGUUCGGAUGGAACUUCACACCCUUUUAGCAGCUUAUAUAAUGAUGUUCGAAUGCGUGACACUAUUGUGUUGACUAUAAGAAUGUUCCAGAGCAAGGUAAAAGGAUCAAAUCCUCGAACAUGGGUAUCCGGUCUCUGGUUGGAGCAAAGAGCCCAAUAACAUAUUUAGAAGAUUAUUACCUUUUAAGCUAUUGGACUUGGAUAUCCUUGUCAGACAUGGGCUUUGGAUGAUAAAAGGAAGGGGAAAGCACCUUUAUAAGUCACAUUUCAAAAACUUGUAUUAGUUGUCUAUGAUGAAUAUUGUUAUCAUAUACACAUGUAUCCUGUUCAGAGCUUGUAUUGUAGUUUAUUUCUAGUCAAAAUUUUGUAUUAAUUGAUCUCACUUUUGGUUCAUUCUUUGAAUUUAUAUAUGUACUAGAACUAAUGAACUAGUGAGUGGUUUACGCGAUGCCUCGAGUUGUAUAUUCUUCAUUUGGAUUUUGGAGUAUGGUGAAUAAUAAUUGUAUUAAUUAAUAUGUGUUGUUGAAUAGUAGAAACAAGUUAAUAAGUCCAUUUUUUUCUAUCAUA